rnacentral:rRNA from 1 species
GUACGACUGCUCAGCAGACGACCCGCGAACAGUUUAUAUUUCACUAUUCUCAAACGGGUUGUGUGCCUUCCUUUUGGAAGGUGCUCGUCCCGGGCGAACAACAAACCCCCGGCGCGGAAUGCGUCAAGGAAUACCAUAACGAGAUUGCUUGUUGCCCGCGCUCCGUUUGCGGAAUGCGUGGGCGACGUAGGCGUCUUACUUAACAAAAAAUGACUCUCGGCAACGGAUAUCUCGGCUCUCGCAUCGAUGAAGAACGUAGCGAAAUGCGAUACUUGGUGUGAAUUGCAGAAUCCCGUGAACCAUCGAGUUUUUGAACGCAAGUUGCGCCUAAAGCCGUCAGGCCGAGGGCACGUCUGCCUGGGCGUCACGCAUCGCGUCGCCCCCCUCCUCGACCUUGUGUCGAGUUGUGGGGAGCGGAAGAUGGCCUCCCGUGCUCCUCACCGGGGUGCGGUUGGCCCAAAUGUGAGUCCUUGGCGGCGGAUGUCAUGGCGAUUGGUGGUCGUACCUAGCGUGCAUAUCGUCGCGCCGUGCCCCCGUUGUCUGUGGGACUAAUGACCCUUUUGGAGCCUCUCUACUUGAGUAGCUCUUCGACCGCGACCCCAGGUCAGGCGGGACUACCCGCUGAGUUUAACAUAUAAAACCC